rnacentral:tRNA from 1 species
GCGUCGUUAGCGCAAUAGGCAGCGCGUCAGUCUCAUAAUCAAAUCUAUAAAUCUGAAGGUCGUGAGUUCGAUCCUCACACGGGGCA